UGUGGCUCAAUGAUAGAGCACUUGCCUGCUGUGCAAAAGGCUCUGGGUUCCAUCCCCAGCA
rnacentral:tRNA from 1 species